rnacentral:miRNA from 2 species
UUUGCAGUUCGAAAGUGGAAGC